UCACAUAGUAGCUCUAAGGCACCUCCAUACAGUAUGCCUAUGGCAUUUUACAGCGUAGCGGCUAGCAGACUUUAAUUAGUUAGUCAGUAACUUUUCCUUCAUAGCUCUCCUACUCUUACUUGGUUUAACAUUAAGUCACUGCAUCUCCCUACAGAACGACACCACGGUUGAUUUCAGCGUCCAUGCACGUAUUUUCAGUUAGCUGACUGACGAAUGCCGUCUCUCCACGCAGAGGAGAGGAGAGAAACUAGCGUGACAGUGCAUGGUCAGUUCAUCGAUGCAGAAUCGUUCACGUCCGCAUCGCGGUGCAUAUAGAAUCAAGAAAUCUUAACACCUCUAUAUUAUAUACACCUUUAUUAUCCAGAUUUUACAUUCAUAUUACACACUGUGCAAUAACUGUAUAUAAAAACCAACUCUCAGUCGAUUUAAAAUGAAAAGGUUUCUUAAAUUCAUUGAAAACAUCUUUAAUAUCAUAUAAACGGUGAACACACGGCCUCACAAACAACACACUUAUCGUGUAAUAUACAAUCAUGUGUUUUGCUGACGAACACGUUACAAAUUGCACCUUUAAAAGAUAUUUAAAGUAACCUGAACAUGAUCAGCAGAGCCCUCCCAGCCCCUGUGACCUCCUGCUGCUCUGAUUAAUAGCUGCUUUAAUGGGAUUAAUGACGGCCCUGAUAGUAAUGAGGAAAUACUAUUAGCAUAAAGCGGCUGCUGUUUGGCUGAUUCAAGGCUCCUGGAUGGUGGCUGGUUGCUUAGGAAUGCAGAAAUCAAAGAUGGUGGGUGAACAGGGGUGUGUUCGGCGUGUGUGUGUGUGUGUGUGCGUGUGUGUGUGUGUGUGUGUGUGUGUAUGUGUGUGUUUUCAGCUCCUCAGAGGGACUCAGUGGGAAGGAGAGCGGAGCAUCGCUGGAGAGACGAUGCAGGGAGGGAUGAAGAGAUGAAGACUUCUAAACUUUAGAUAAACCUGUUUACACCACAUCUAUAAUCUGUGAUGAGGGGUCUAAACCGGACACUCCACCGUAAAGGUGGAGUCAUCAAUUCUGGAGAAAGAUUGUUGAUAUUUGAACUCAACACCCAAACAAAUCCCCUCCAGAUUUACAGUCGCUCUCGCUCCCACUGCCUUCCUCUUUAUACAUCCACGGCCGUUCCUCUCUCCUGUACACCAGCACCGACGCCCCCUGUUGCUGACUGGCUGGAAUACGAGCCACUUUGUUUGUUUCCCAUUUACAGAGCCAGGGCUGUGUAUGAACACCGGAUUGUUUUUUUCAGCAUACAACACUGAACGGACCGCUAGCGGACCGUGAGGAGAUAUUCACUGAAUUUGACAAACAGUGUAAUAGAUUAGAAUCGCUAAAUGAACCUAUUAAGGGGUCGUAAACCAAAAAGGUUUGAGAGGAAGCGUUUCAGAGGAACAGUAGAAAGAAGACAAAUCUGCUGCUAGUGAUUCUGCGAUGGGCUCGGCUAAAAAAAUCUCGUUCAUAACUUGACAUUUUUUGCAGCAUUCCCAGCCUGCGGUGAAGAGGCCAGGGGCUUCAUUAGAGAGAUCUGGAGGCCGACCCUAUCAGCCUGGGGGCACGCAGGAGGGGGGCGGGGGGUCUAUACCAAACCGAACGCCUGUCUCUCCACUGGAGACGGACUGGGCUCCCCUGGGUUCCCCGCGACCGACCUCCUGCUUCUGUGGAUGGGCCAGAAAAAUCAACGGCGUUCCCCUUUGAACAACCUCCUCCUCCUCCUCCUCCUCCUCCUCCUCCUCUUCCUGCUGCUCUGUCUCUCCUUCAUGCUCUCUCUCUUUCUCCCUUUCUCUGAGGACCUAAUGAAUGAUUCAUUUAACCCCUCCACCACCUCCAACACCACCAAACUCCUCGCCUUUUCACCCAACCACCCAUCUAUCUACCCGUCUUCCGCACCUCAACACUUUAUUUUACUUUCUGUUCUCCUGUUUUAUUGCAAGUAAAAGUAAAAGAUGGGUGGCAGCGCAGUGGUGGUGGCCAUGAAACGGAGACAACAAAGGGAGGAACAAGCGCCCAUUUGUGUCACAGAUCCCUCCGUGUAUCCCAUUAAAGGCAAUGUUUGACAAAUUA